rnacentral:lncRNA from 1 species
CAUAUUAGUUUUCUCUUUUUGGGUAUCUCUCUCUCCUUGACAACACAAAGACUGUGUCAUUUAAGUUUGGGGGAGGUACCAAGUAUUUGAUCACGUUUGCUUUGAUGAUUUUGAGUCUCAUGCAUUGCAUUAUACAUAUAUAUUUGCAUAAAAAAAAUUCAUUUAGUUUGCAUCAUUGGCAUUUCUAGGAGAGUCUAGAGCAUAUAUGUUGCAUUUACUUGCAUUGGGAGCAAUGAUU